AUUGAACGCUGGCAGCAGGCCUAACACAUGCAAGUCGAGCGGAUGAAGGGAGCUUGCUCCUGGAUUCAGCGGCGGACGGGUGAGUAAUGCCUAGGAAUCUGCCUGGUAGUGGGGGAUAACGUCCGGAAACGGGCGCUAAUACCGCAUACGUCCUGAGGGAGAAAGUGGGGGAUCUUCGGACCUCACGCUAUCAGAUGAGCCUAGGUCGGAUUAGCUAGUUGGUGGGGUAAAGGCCUACCAAGGCGACGAUCCGUAACUGGUCUGAGAGGAUGAUCAGUCACACUGGAACUGAGACACGGUCCAGACUCCUACGGGAGGCAGCAGUGGGGAAUAUUGGACAAUGGGUGAAAGCCUGAUCCAGCCAUGCCGCGUGUGUGAAGAAGGUCUUCGGAUUGUAAAGCACUUUAAGUUGGGAGGAAGGGCAGUAAGUUAAUACCUUGCUGUUUUGACGUUACCAACAGAAUAAGCACCGGCUAACUUCGUG
rnacentral:rRNA from 1 species